AUUGAACGCUGGCGGCAUGCCUUACACAUGCAAGUCGAACGGCAGCACGGGUGCUUGCACCUGGUGGCGAGUGGCGAACGGGUGAGUAAUACAUCGGAACGUACCUUAUCGUGGGGGAUAACGCAGCGAAAGCUGUGCUAAUACCGCAUACGCCCUGAGGGGGAAAGCGGGGGAUCGCAAGACCUCGCGCGAUUAGAGCGGCCGAUGCCUGAUUAGCUUGUUGGUGGGGUAAAAGCCCACCAAGGCGACGAUCAGUAGCUGGUCUGAGAGGACGAUCAGCCGCACUGGGACUGAGAAACGGCCCAGACUCCUACGGGAGGCAGCAGUGGGGAAUUUUGGACAAUGGGGGCAACCCUGAUCCAGCAAUGCCGCGUGAGUGAAGAAGGCCUUCGGGUUGUAAAGCUCUUUUGUCAGGGAAGAAACACCGGCUCUAACACAGUCCGGGAAUGACGGUACCUGAAGAAUAAGCACCGGCUAACUACGUGCCAGCCGCCGCAGUAA
rnacentral:rRNA from 1 species